rnacentral:misc_RNA from 1 species
GUGAAUCAUCAAAUUUUUGAAUGCAAAUUGCACUCUCUUCGAAGAGUAUGCCUAUUUGAGGGUCAGUAUUAGUAAAAAUCUGCGUGUUUCCCUUGUGUGACGUUCCGGAGUGUGCGUCCUCUUAUAACAACACGCUUUCAGGGUAUUUUUAGGAGUCUUAAUCUUGACGUUUUUUGUGCAUUUUAUCCGUACAUAAUUUUUUU